CUUUAGAUACCCGGGUAGUCCACGCCGUAAACGAUCAUCACUCGCUGUUGGCGAUAUACUGUCAGCGGCCAAGCGAAAGUAUUAAGUGAUGCACCUGGGGAGUACGCCGGCAACGGUGAAACUCAAAGGAAUUGACGGGGGCCCGCACAAGCGGUGGAGCAUGUGGUUUAAUUCGAUGAUACGCGAGGAACCUUACCAGGGCUUAAAUGUAGUAUGACCGGCUUGGAAACAGGCCUUCUCUUCGGAGCAGAUUACAAGGUGCUGCAUGGCCGCCGUCAG
rnacentral:rRNA from 1 species